rnacentral:lncRNA from 1 species
GGAGAGCCGGGACAGACCGGCCAAGAGGAGCCGGUUCCCCACGUCGAGAACGGGGAAGGGAAGGGAGGGCCCGGGCGGACGCCGUGCUGUGCACUCCCCCCCCACACGCGAGCAAUGGGGAGCCGCCGCCGCUCCCCUCCUGCCAUCGGAGGGUGUGGGGGGGAGCUUGGCGGGAGGAACCCGGAGCAGAGCCGUCCUUGCCUGCCUCACCUGCCCACUUCUCCGGAGGCGGCUGCAGGGAGACCCCCCCUGGCUGUGCCGCCGGCCGCUGCCCCUUCCAUCGUCUUGCUCUUCUGGUUUCAGGCCGAUCCGCUCGGCUACCCGCCAGCCGGGGGCACUUCUCCUUCCUUCCUUCCUCGGGCUCUGUCUCUCCUGGAGGGCCCAGACCCCCCCCCGCUCCGGCCAGGCAGGGAAAGCGCCCCUCGCCUUCACAGGCAGGAUACCCACCAACCACCCCUCCGUGCUCGAGCGCACACAGGCAGAGCCACUUUGUGGUAAGUAGGCCGGGCCUCUCUUUCAAGAGCCUGGAGGGACCCAUAGAAUUGAUGGGCACGUACCCCACACACACCCCAGACAGUCUCCCUCUCCGCCCCUGCUUCGGAAUUCCUUGUUUCCCUACCAGGCCGCUUGAAAUGAGGAACCAGGACCCUGAGACGCUGCAGUGCUCCGACGAUGCCAUUUUACCUGUCGCCGCUUCUGACCCGCAAAGUAACAUUGUUCUGCAAGAAGAGGAGCUGCAGGAACCGAUAACGUCUGGGAAAUGGUCUGCCUUAUCGCAAGAGUAGCCUUCAAACACCCUCUUUGCUGGUGGUUGCUAAAAAUUCACAAAGAAGUCCUGCUUCCUUCGGGUCGAUCCCACCAGCCAGUUUCUGCUUCCCACUGAGGACCCUCCUCAAGCAUUGCUUCUAUUCUGCCAAUGGUUCGUUACGGAUUCUGCAGAUUUUAUCAACAGGCCGGAAGGCAUAAAAUGGCUGGAUGGAGAUUAUAUUUGAGUUCAUGUGGAUUUUAAUGUUCUCCUCACAAGAAAUCCCAGAGAGUGAAGGGUUGGCCCUCGUGAAUGCUAAUUUAGGGAAGAGAACAAAAGCCACUCUCCUGCCCAGGACUUCCCCUGCUAGCUUUGACAGGAAUGGCAUUUUGCAAAACUGAUUUGUCCCUUCAUAAAAACGGAGGUCCGUUGGCAAAGAGGAGGGGAAGAGAUGGCACACACACCCCGGAAGUGGAGAGAGGGUUAGCGGUAGCUGCGUUUCUGGAGCAGGACAUUUCUCCUGUUAAAUGAUUCCUUUUUCUGUGCAUCAAAUUCAAGAGACAAACAAUUUAUUCGCGAAGGCUUUCACAGCCAGGAUCUAAUGGUUUUUCGGGCUCUUUGGCUGUGUUCUGACAUUAGACAUGCAAUUUCAUCCAAAAUUUGAUCAUGAUCCAAUCAACUCAUUUUCCCCAACUUUCAGCCCCCUCCCUAAUCUAGCAGACUACAGCUCCCAUGAUCCCCAGCCAGCCAUCUUGCCCUAGCAGGGGGAAAAGUGGGGGACCGCCUCUCUCUCACCAACUAUCAGAAGUAAAUCAAUCAAUCAAAUAAUCAAUCAAUCAAUCAGGUGGUUUUCAAAACUCCAGCAGCUCCUGCCCACACAGGCUGGUCCCUGAUCAGCCCAGAGGUGGAUCGUGUGGACCCAGAGGUCCCCAGACAGCAGGACAAGGGCAGCUGGGGGGGGGCAAAAGCCCACACCGCUGCUCCCCAUAGAAAUGAGACCUCCAGCCCUUGGCUUGGGAGUCAUACCCUGGACUUAAGGU